rnacentral:rRNA from 1 species
GACGAACGCUGGCGGCGUGCUUAACACAUGCAAGUCGAACGGAAAGGCCCGGCUCUUGUGGGGUGCUUGAGUGGCGAACGGGUGAGUAACACGCGAGUAACCUGCCCCUGACUUUGGGAUAACUUCAGGAAACUGGGGCUAAUACCGGAUAUGAGCUCCUGCUGCAUGGUGGGGGUUGGAAAGUUUCGGCGGUUGGGGAUGGACUCGCGGGUUAUCAGCUGGUUGGUCGGGUAGUGGCUUACCAAGGCUUUGACGGAUAGCCGGCCUGAGAGGGUGACCGGCCACCAUGGUACUGAGGUACGGCCCAGACGCGUACGGGAGGCAGCAGUGGAGAAUAUUGCAGAAUGGGCGGAAGCCUGUUACAGAGGCGCCGCGUGCGGGAUGACGGCCUUCGAGUUGUAAACCGCUUUCGCCUGUGACGAAGCGUGAGUGACGGUAAUGGAUAAAGAAGCACCGGCUAACUACGUG